AAGGGUCGGCAUUAAGGUGGGUGGGAUAUUAUAACAAUACCCCCAUGUUGUUAUGGUAGCCCACCCCCCCUGAUGU
rnacentral:pre_miRNA from 10 species